GUACGUCUCGCACAAGAAACACGGCAAAACUCGUAUUCCGCGCCUUCGAAGAAAAGGCGUCGAGGCGUUGCGCGCCUAUUGCCGUCCCGACAGCUUUUGUCACGACGUUCCGCGGGAGCGCCGAAAAACAAAACCCGUGCACACGUGUUUGGACUUAUUUCUCUUAUACUGUAAAAACCGGCAACGUCGCACGACGUUCGAAAUAGCACACACAAGCCAGCUUGCAACUUUCACCGCAACGGAGUCACAAAACCCAGUGUGAAUUACCAUCUAGCUUCAAGUUUGUCCUGUAGGAAAAUACAUGAGGAUCUCUACGUUUUCUAGUGACUGUAAUCAAUCCAUUCAACUAUGUCGCUCAGCGUUCUGCUACCAGAGAGCGCAUCCGUUUAUAGAGGAACUCGGCCAUUUUCUACCGUACAACUAUAACCUGUACGUGUUGCAGACCGUAAGGACGCAAUGGCUUCCCGAUACGCUUCGUGUCUUGCAUCAUCCUUUUACCAAGAUGGCCUCGCCUGCCACUCGAGACUUCACUGACUCGCCCACUACUGUCUCGCAGCCAGAACAUAACCAUGGAGGAUCAGAAACUCACUUGGACUAGACUUUAAACCUCUUGAUUAUGCAGGCGUCGACCUGCACUGGGAACGGAAGCCAUUCGCCUGCUUUCAUCGUGUCUCACAAGAGGAAUGGAGGAAAGACGUUUCUGUGGAAUGAAGCAAGUCUGAACGCGUUCGUACUCGGAGUUGUUCUGACGUGCGGCGAUGCGUCACGGAUUGGAUAAUGAUUGUCCUCCCUUACUGGGAAUUCCCUGGGAGAAUUAUACUCAUCGUAUAAUAAUCAUAAACGGAAUAAAUUUUUUAAGUGUA